AUGCAAAGAACUUUGAAAAGAGAGUUAAAGAGUACCUGAAAUUGCUGAAACGGAAGCGAAGGAAACUAGUGUUGGUGUAGCCAUACUUCCCGGUUCGCUUGCGGAUUGGGCGCUGUGUCUAUGCCAUUGCCAACCCCGGUUCUUUUUCGCUGGAAGUGGACCCCCUCAGUUUUGUUGGGGUCUUUCCCUGGUGUUGGGAACUGGUUGUUGUCGAAAUGGUUUUCUUUACCCCGUCUUGAAACACGGACCAAGGAGUCUAACAUAUGUGCGAGUACAGAGGUGAUAAACCUCCGUGCGUAAUGAAAGUGACAGUGGUUGGACCUUAUGGGCACAAUCCGCCGGCCUCAAUCCCUCGGGAGAAUGGUCUGAGUGUGAGCACACAUGUUGGGACCCGAAAGAUGGUGAACUAUGCCUGAAUAGGGUGAAGCCAGGGGAAACUCUGGUGGAGGCUCGUAGCGAUUCUGACGUGCAAAUCGAUCGUCAAAUUCGGGUAUAGGGGCGAAAGACUAAUCGAACCAUCUAGUAGCUGGUUCCCUCCGAAAUUUCCCUCAGGAUAGCUGCAAUCGGCGUUCAAUUUUAUCA
rnacentral:rRNA from 2 species